rnacentral:rRNA from 1 species
AUGCGAGUGAGUGCUGUCGAGGUGCCAGGCAUGACUGUAAGCAUGGCGGCUCCAGAGGUAGAAAGUUCCCCUCCCCGUCAUGUUGUUGGGCCUUCAUUCCGAUUGCAUGUGAACAACCUGUCGUUGAACGUGGAAGACUCUAGGCUGACUCAUAUGUUCAGCCAGCACGACAGAGUGGCCUAUGCUAAGGUUAUCCGUGAUAUCCAUAGCGAGGGACUCAAAGGGAUUCGGUUUUGUAGAGAUGGCGUCGCGGGAGGAUAUGGACAAUGCCAUCACAACCCUUCAUGGACAGCUUGGAGGGGCGUGUCAUACGUGUGA